ACCAAGGCAUCCUACUUGCACGAAAGCAGCGGAUCGAUAAGAGGCACAGUGCCGAAUGAAUGCGAGACGAAAUCUGAAAGAAGCUCGUUGCUAACGGCCGUAUGACGUUCAACGGUCGUUUGGCAACGCCUUUCGGGAUCAUGCCAGAGAAGCAUGUAUGCUGGAACCCGAAAGACAGAAAACUAAGUCACAGCGGUGUUGAUGAACAAACCAGUCCUCAAAUUUGUGCAUUAAGACGAAAGACAAAUCGAAUCUUUUAGUCGUUGGUUCUCUCGAAAGCUUUCCUUAAGAUAGCUGAUAUCAGCGUGAUGAGUUUUAUGUGGAAUAGUGAAUGAUUUAAAUUUUGAACGGAGAACAUCUUAAAACCAAUCUCAGACUUUCUAUUGGUACACUAUGCAGCUUUCGUUAACGAAACUGUACGAAAGAAAUGUCAAUGGCUAAUAGACCAAUUUUCGUACGCACAACUGGCGAUGUGAGAUGAACCAUACAUCGAAUUAAGGCGCCUGAUAGGAACGCUGAACAUAUAACAUGAAAGUCGGAAUUCACUAAGCAAUGUGUAACAACUCACUUGCCCAAUUCACUAGCCCUGAAAGUGGAUGAUGCCAGAACUUGUAGACUAUAUUCGGCCGCUUCCUUUCGGUGGCGUCCCAGGAGAGUUACCAAGCGCAAGCACGACAGAUUAAAGCAGAUAUGAGAACUAAAAGCGCUAUCAUGUGCCAUGACAUAAGAACAUGAGUCCUGGCCGAACCAUCGUUGGCGCAAAUCUUGGUGGUAACAGCGAGUAUUCAAGAGAGAAUAUUGAAGAAUGAAUACAUACCGGGAUC
rnacentral:ncRNA from 1 species